CUUUUUUCUUGUUUGAAAAUUAAAGACAUCUUUGACUAUUUCUAUAUAUGGAACACACAUAAAUACUUUAUUUAUUUACAAUACUAUAAAAUAGUUCUUCGACAUUUGUUGUUUUUAUAUAAAGUCUUAGUUUUUAUUUUACAAAGGUAUAUCAGAUACUAUACCAAGAAUGGCUAAGUUUUCCGCCUUACUAGUUAUCGUCCUUGCCUUUAUUUAUUCAGUUAUACCUACAACAAAUGGAGCAAACAUACAAUCAUUUAUAUGUAUUGUUACAGACGAUCAUAGUCCAUGUCUUCUGCAAGUUUGCAAACAAUGGUGCCUUCAUAAAUAUAAUGGCCUUGGAAAAUGCACUAUAGGAACCCCUUCUUCAUCGACUUUAAAUUGUAGUUGCACAUAUAGAUGUAGAACCUAGAAUAAAAAGUAUGAUAGUUGCUCUAUUUUAAAUGUAGAACCUUUAUCAAAAAAAAGUUAAUAAAUUUAAGAGACUUAUAUUUUGGGCUUCAAAA